GUGCAGAUCUAAAAUUUGGCAAAUGCCAUCUCUACCUCACAGGAGGGUCAUUCAAAAAAUAGGAAUAAAGGCUAAGUAGAAAACGAGAUGUGUCCGGAAAAAACUGCCGCAGGCAUUGAGAGUCUGGGCAAGACAGCGGGACAAAGCAAUAGACAUUCAUUUUUUGGAUAACGUAAGAAGACUGUUGUUUGAUCAGUUGUAGCAAAACAGAAUGGAGUCCUUCAGAUUUUUGCUAUGACAGAAUGACAUACUCUUCAUUCAGCCACUCAAGCAAAAGAAUGACUGACGAUCCAGUGAAGGUCAAAUAGUUUUCCAGCCAGUUGAUGCUGCUUCACACAGACUUAACCCUCUUUACCCAGAAAGACUGGGCCAAAAUUUUGGCUCUGAAGACCCUAGAAGCUGUCCCUCCAGAGAAAACCUCCUCUUACUUCCUCUGUCCCUAAAAAAUACAGUUCAUGAGAAGUUUCCAGUAGGUGGAUCCGUUUCUCAGAAGGUUCCACCCUUUUCCUUGUAUGCAGUUAAAACAUCUUGUGACUUUCAUUCUACUUUGCUGGAGUUCUCCUGGUCUCGCCUCCUUGUUGGGCUCUGGCUUUAUUUCUCAUCAAUGUCAGUGUGCCUCAGGGAAUUAGUUUUUCUCUUUCCCUGAAUGAACAAAUGCUUUCCCUAAAUGAAAUCUGGAAAUAUAUGACCUUUCUAACAAAGUCAUAAGGGAGGACUCUCCAGGAGGCAGGAGUAUUUACAUAAAACAAAAUCUCAGAGGGACUGGCGAGUCCUUCAGUUUGAAACUUUAUUAGCAGGAUAGAGAUUUUUGCCUCUAACCUCUGAUGCUUCA
rnacentral:lncRNA from 1 species